CACGGUAUGAUUCAUGACUGGGGUGAAGUCGUAACAAGGUAACCGUAGGGGAACCUGCGGUUGGAUCACCUCCUUA
rnacentral:rRNA from 2 species